rnacentral:rRNA from 1 species
UACGUAGGGUGCAAGCGUUAAUCGGAAUUACUGGGCGUAAAGCGUGCGCAGGCGGUUUUGUAAGUCAGAUGUGAAAUCCCCCGGGCUUAACCUGGGAACUGCGUUUGAAACUACAAGGCUAGAGUGUGACAGAGGGGGGUGGAAUUCCACGUGUAGCAGUGAAAUGCGUAGAGAUGUGGAGGAACACCGAUGGCGAAGGCAGCCCCCUGGGUUAACACUGACGCUCAGGCACGAAAGCGUGGGGAGCAAACAGG